UACGUAGGUGGCAAGCGUUGUCCGGAUUUACUGGGCGUAAAGAGCGCGCAGGCGGUCGUUCAAGUCGCGUGUGAAAGCCCCCCGGCUCAACUGGGGAGGGUCACGCGAUACUGAUCGACUCGAAGGCAGGAGAGGGAAGUGGAAUUCCCGGUGUAGUGGUGAAAUGCGUAGAUAUCGGGAGGAACACCAGUGGCGAAGGCGGGUCUCUGGGCCGAUACUGACGCUGAGGAGCGAAAGCGUGGGGAGCGAACAGG
rnacentral:rRNA from 1 species